AUGCACGCUGGCGGCGUGCCUAAUACAUGCCAGUCGCGCGAACAGACGAGGAGCUUGCUCCUUUGACGUUAGCGGCGGCCGGGUGAGUAACACGUAGGUAACCUACCUAUAAGACUGGGAUAACUUCGGGAAACCGGAGCUAAUACCGGAUAAUAUUUCGAACCGCAUGGUUCGAUAGUGAAAGAUGGCUUUGCUAUCACUUAUAGAUGGACCUGCGCCGUAUUAGCUAGUUGGUAAGGUAACGGCUUACCAAGGCAACGAUACGUAGCCGACCUGAGAGGGUGAUCGGCCACACUGGAACUGAGACACGGUCCAGACUCCUACGGGAGGCAGCAGUAGGGAAUCUUCCGCAAUGGGCGAAAGCCUGACGGAGCAACGCCGCGUGAGUGAUGAAGGUCUUCGGAUCGUAAAACUCUGUUAUUAGGGAAGAACAAACGUGUAAGUAACUGUGCACGUCUUGACGGUACCUAAUCAGAAAGCCACGGCUAACUACGUG
rnacentral:rRNA from 1 species